CGCACUUAUAAAUUAAUAAAAAUGAGAAAUAAGUCAUUAAAUAUACUAAGGUGUCGUUUACCAUAAUUGGCAAGCCUGCCAGGUGAGUGCGUGGGAAACAAAAGUGCAUUUGUGUUAUUUCAGCAGUUACUGACAAUUGAAAACUGUUCAGGUUUGAGGACGUCUCACAUUUUCAGUCGUUUUUGAAGGUGAGAAAGUUAUAAGACACUCUCGGCGCAUGAAUAUCAGCGUAGAAUUGAAAUGGGUGUCAGCUAAAAACACACAGCAGCAAUGCUUCUGUAAUAUCUUCAGAACAGCAGAGGUGACAUGCUGAUCCUGUGGUUUGUAAUCAUAAAUUCCUAAAAACACGUCUUCAGUAGCUGAAGUCUCUGCUGCCAUCUUAGAGGAUUGGGAACAUUUGACACUGCCAUAUCAAACCCCACAAUGAAUCCAGCAAUAAGCAAAUAAAAACACACGACAUUCUGUCUUAGAGCUUCAGAUCACUCAUGUCAUCUGUUUGUCAUCUUGAUUUUCGCUUUUCUUUUGUCACUUUUUUCUUUGGAUGUGAUGUUUUUCCAUUGUUUUAUUUUUUUUAAGCCCACUGGGGUUUCUGUUUAGUCUCACCUGCUGAGAUUGGAUUUUUUUUUCAUCCCCAGAUAUUUUCUGAAGUGUUUUUAUCUUUUGUAUGGAUAUGCAAAUCACUCACCCUAAACCUACAGUAGCAGCUGUCUCUGUGUUUUCACUGUGAUAAUAUCAGACUGGGCAAACAAAGCCUGGGAACGGCACACCGAUACCAGCUAGAGUGUUUAACGAAGUUUGUUCUUACAGAUUUGCAUUAACUUUUGAUGAAAAACACAGGUUAGAUUAAGCUGUAAAAGUAAAUAUCAAUGCAUAGUUCAAUUAUUAUGAUUUUUAAAAACCCAGACAUUUGUGGUAGAUCUUUUGUAAUGAGCUUUAAGGGGGAAAAACCCUCAUAUGGAUUACACAUAAUCAGUUUGCAAUGUUUUUCUCAUUCGAGUAAUCAUUUUUUAAUCAUUUUCAUCAUAAUUUACCAUUUAAAGUUUAUCUGCUUACCCUAAAUCUGUCCAACCUUCGUCACUUGGAUUGACUACAUUUCCCAAAAUGCCUCUGGACACCCCCCAGAGAAAAUGCCAGGGUUCAGCAGGGUUUUACCUACACUUGGACUCAUCAGUGAAGUAUGAAAGUGAGAGUUUCCCAGUGAGAGAAAGUGAGAAGUUUUUA
ensembl:lncRNA